rnacentral:sRNA from 1 species
UCUGCGCAUGGCGUCGGCGAACGCACGC